rnacentral:rRNA from 1 species
GAUGAACGCUGGCGGCGUGCCUAAUACAUGCAAGCCGAGCGAACAGAUGAGGAGCUUGCUCCUCUUACGUUAGCGGCGGACGGGUGAGUAACACGUGGAUAACCUACCUAUAAGACUGGGAUAACUUCGGGAAACCGGAGCUAAUACCGGAUAAUAUAUUGAACCGCAUGGUUCAAUAGUGAAAGACGGUUUUGCUGUCACUUAUAGAUGGAUCCGCGCCGCAUUAGCUAGUUGGUAAGGUAACGGCUUACCAAGGCAACGAUUCGUAGCCGACCUGAGAGGGUGAUCGGCCACACUGGAACUGAGACACGGUCCAGACUCCUACGGGACGCAGCAGUAGGGAAUCGUCGGCAAUGGGCGAAAGCCUGACGGAGCAACGCGGCGUGAGUGAUGAAGGUCUUCGGAUCGUAAAACUCUGUUAUUAGGGAAGAACAAAUGUGGAAGUAACUAUGCACGUCUUGACGGUACCUAAUCAGAAAGCCACGGCUAACUACGUG